GGUAGUGUAGCUCAGUGGUAGAGUAUGUGCUUAGCAAGUACAAGGCCCUAGGUUCAAUCCCCAGCAUAAACA
rnacentral:tRNA from 1 species